UACGUAGGGGGCAAGCGUUGUCCGGAAUCAUUGGGCGUAAAGAGCGCGUAGGCGGCCCGAUAAGUCCGCUGUGAAAGUCAAGGGCUUAACCCUUGAAUGCCGGUGGAAACUGUCGGGCUAGAGUCCGGAAGAGGCGAGUGGAAUUCCUGGUGUAGCGGUGGAAUGCGCAGAUAUCAGGAGGAACACCAAUAGCGAAGGCAGCUCGCUGGGACGUUACUGACACUGAGGCGCGAAAGCGUGGGGAGCGAACAGG
rnacentral:rRNA from 1 species